GAAGACGGGUGAGUAACGCGUGGGAAUCUACCCAGUUCUACGGAAUAACCCAGGGAAACUUGGACUAAUACCGUAUACGCCCUACGGGGGGAAAGAUUUAUCGGAAUUGGAUGAGCCCGCGUAAGAUUAGCUAGUUGGUGGGGUAAUGGCCUACCAAGGCGACGAUCUUUAGCUGGUCUGAGAGGAUGAUCAGCCACACUGGGACUGAGACACGGCCCAGACUCCUACGGGAGGCAGCAGUGGGGAAUAUUGGACAAUGGGCGCAAGCCUGAUCCAGCCAUGCCGCGUGAGUGAUGAAGGCCUUAGGGUUGUAAAGCUCUUUCAGUGGGGACGAUAAUGACGGUACCCACAGAAGAAGCCCCGGCUAACUUCGUGCCAGCAGCCGCGGUAAU
rnacentral:rRNA from 1 species